UACGGAGGGUGCAAGCGUUAAUCGGGAUUACUGGGCGUAAAGCGAGUGCAGGCGGUUGCGGGGGUCGGGGGUGGAAGCCCCGGGCUUAACCUGGGAAUUGCAUCCGAAACUGCGUAACUAGAAUAUAGUAGAGGAAGACGGAAUUCCACGUGUAGCGGUGAAAUGCGUAGAUAUGUGGAGGAACACCAAUGGCGAAGGCAGUCUUCUGGGCCAAUAUUGACGCUGAGGCUCGAAAGCGUGGGUAGCAAACAGG
rnacentral:rRNA from 1 species